GGGGCUGUAGCUCAGCUGGGAGAGCACCUCCCUUGCACGGAGGGGGUCGCAGGUUCGAACCCUGUCAGCUCCA
rnacentral:tRNA from 1 species